UCCACCAUCUUAGUGGUAGCUUCCAUUCCAUUCAUAGUCUAAAAUGGCACCUGGAGCUCCAGCCCUCUUCUCCACAUUCCAGGCAGUAGGAAAAAAAGAAGGGAGGGCCGAAAGGCUGUACCCCAGUUGGAAAUGUCCUUUCAGUUGUCCUGGACUUCCCAAAAGCCUUGACUUGCAUGUCAUUGACCAGAGGCUAAUCGCACGGGCACACUUAGUGCAGGGGAGACUGGGAAAUACAAUAUUUUAGGUGGCUGCACGUGGCUACCUAAAAGCCAGGGUUCUGUUUCAAAGGAAGAAGGGAUAAGGCUGUGCCUGCACACCUUGAAGUUGCCACGGCAGUUAUUUGGGAGCGAACAGUGUAUUUGAUCAUUUCAGGAGGGGCACCCUUUUUCACUCCUGGUUGAGUCACCCCUGAGUCCCUGAGCAGCCAACAUUGAGGCCCCAGAAUCUCAGGGCCGUCUCUCCAGUUCUGAUCACAGACUCUCUGGACCUUCUCUGGGCUUGUCGGGGUGUGGGUCUGAUGGCGGUGGCUGGCGCCCAGAGCCCAGGGAGCACAGUGGGAACCCCAUGGGGAGAGUGGGGAGCAGCAGAGAAUGGAGGCACCAGGGGCCCUGGAGUUGCAACCCCGGGUGGCGGUUCCUCUUCGCUCUGGUCUGCCCCUCCCUGCUCUGCUCCUCGUCCCGUCUGUCUUUCUGUCCCUCUGUCUCUUGGGCUGUGGGAGGCCAGGUUCUGGCUCAGCACAGCCCCAUGUGUUUCCAGGCAGGAGAAUCAACAGAGCUUUGCCGUGGCCGGGACCUACUCCCUGGUCAGGCAGGCUUAUCCCGGGUCCCUGAUGGACAUGGUCCCUGAUGCAGAAUCUGCAAGGAAGGAAAAGCUGCUGUUCUCCCCCAGCCUUGAGGGAUCUGAGUCUCCCAGGUACCAGAACUUCCGCAAAGGAAGCCGACUUGGGUCAGAUGCCGCUUAUGUAGAACCCAUUGCCAUGGACUAUUACAACUGGGGGCAGUGCCGGAAGGCCCUGGAAGAUGAUGACGACACCAAUUCCUACGAGAAUGUGCUCAUCUGCCAGCAAAGCCCUGACUCAGAUGAGGGGUCUGACGAUUACCAGAACUCAUCAUCCAUCCUUCAGUGGCGGAAGUCCAGGAAGGUCGCAGAGCAAGUCCGGAGAGAAACAUGUGCCUCUCCAGAAAGCCCAGAUGAGGACGGGGAGCCUGAUUAUGUGAACGGGGAUGUGUCAGCCCAGAAGGCCUAGGGAAGCCCUGGGAAGAAGGCUUGGUGAGGUGACAGAAUCUCCAUUGGAGGUGUGCCAGGCAAGGGAGGCUGGAGCCAAGGGGCACCCCAGUGCACAGGACUACUGUGCGCUCUUUCCACCGCUACUCCUGGGGGUGCACUAAUACCACCCGAGGACCACCCACUGGCCACGCGGACCCAGCCCAGGGAAGAACAAUUACUGGGGAUGCCCUCUGGCAUGGCCUCUGAGGGACAGGGCAGGAGCCUGGCGAUCAGAUGCCUGGGACUGCGGGAAGGUCGUGUCCCAUCCCCCACCUACAACACUGGAAUUCGUUUCUUUUGCUUUGGAUUUGGAUCCGAAAUUGCUUACUAAUGUCGACUGCAGUCGCCAGAAUUAUUUUCUGAUAAGCUUGUACAGUUAAUUUAUAUAGAUGGAGUCAUAUUUAAUAGUCUAAAUUUCAGGGUAAGAGAUGGCCUUGUCUCCUGUAAGCAUUACAUGUACUUCGUCAGAAGACUCUAGGGGGCGCCCUGGCACUCCUUCCUUUGGCCUCAGGAAGAUGAGGCUGCAGCCAGCCACCCUCACCACCCUAUGGUGGGACCAGGUGCCAUGGACAGUGUCUGUCCUUAGAAAGAACAGGCUAAGGACAGGCAUUGUGGAGGGGGCGGCUCCGCAGGUGCCUGAAAUCCUUCUCUGCUCCAGUGCUGCCCUCAGCUGAGCUCACUGGGCAGGAGUCCAACUGGCUCUCGGGAAGGAGCCCAAAGGGAUCUUCCAAGUUAGAAAGUCAGUCAGGGACAAAAAUGCUUUCUUCUACCAAAACAUCUCAAUAAAUCAUUUUAGUUUAA